CACGUAGUUAGCCGUGGCUUCCUCCUCAGGUACCGUCAUUAUCGUCCCUGAAGACAGAGCUUUACAACCCGAAGGCCGUCAUCACUCACGCGGCGUUGCUGCAUCUGGGUUUCCCCCAUUGUGCAAUAUUCCCCACUGCUGCCUCCCGUAGGAGUCUGGGCCGUGUCUCAGUCCCAAUGUGGCCGAUCACCCUCUCAGGUCGGCUACGCAUCGUCGCCUUGGUGAGCCGUUACCUCACCAACUAGCUAAUGCGCCGCGGGCCCAUCUCAUAGCGGAUUGCUCCUUUAAUUGCUACUUCAUGCGAAGCUACAAUCUUAUGCGGUAUUAAUCUCCCUUUCGGAAGGCUAUUCCCCUCUAUGAGGCAGGUUGCCCACGUGUUACUCACCCGUCCGCCGCUAGCUUUGUUCCGAAGAACUCCACUCGCUCGACUUGCAUGUGUUAGGCACGCCGCCAGCGUCUCUGAGCGAGAUCAACUCU
rnacentral:rRNA from 1 species